AGCUUCCCCUUCUGUGUGAGUGCUGGGCUGGAGUGUGGAAGAGCCAUCCAGAGUCCGACUGCCUCAUCAAGACCGUCCGCUCCGAGGGCUACUUCGGCAUGUACCGGGGUGAGGUUUGGCUCGGCUGGGCUCGAUAUGGGCAGGCCUGGGUAGCGCCCGCGAGUCGUGGCAGGGAGCGGUGGGGGAGGCAGGGCAGGGCGGCCAGCCUGGGCCUGGUGUGUGAGCGUGGACGUGUUUGUGGGGGCUGUGCCUGUGCAGGGGGGACUGGAUCUCUGGUGAGUGGUAGUUCUCAGCCUCUCCCGUGGCAGCUCCCCACCCCCACUUAGUGCCUGGUGCGUGGGAUGCCAUGGUACAUCUGUCUCUUCUCUGGUGGCCACAGCUGCCUCUGCCUUCUGGGCCAGGCUGGACCCCGUUUGUGGCUGGGGAUGGGAGGGAGUAAGGGGCAUUACCGCAAAGCAGCUUAGGACACAAUCCAGAGCCUAGAUUUGGCAGAAGCUCUCCAGCCCUGAGCCUUCGGCACUGAGAUGGGGGCUCUCCACAGCCUCCCCCGAGCUCUGGCCCAGUCCAGACCACACACUCCUGUGACCUCUGGCCCCAGCCCCCUGCCAGCACAAGCACCAUCUGUCCUCCAGGGAGGGAGAGGUAUCCUAGGGAGGCCUC
rnacentral:lncRNA from 10 species